CCACACACACUGCCUUAGCUUAGAUGACAUCCCUAAAUAUAGCCACAUGGCUUUUAGAGAUUUUUUAAUUCUGCAACUAGCAUAGGACCUGAUCUACUUGUAGCUAAUAUUAGUGAUAAAAAUUCUAUGGUAUUUUUUAUUAUUCUCAGUACAAACAAUGAAAAUUUGACAAAAACAUUCCAUAGCAUACUUUCAGGUAAAGGGAAAAAAGCUGUCAAAACUAAAAAAGGGCGAUGUGAAGGCGUUCAAGAACGCAGUGGCAGAUAUUCUAGAGUGGAAAGACAAAAGGCCGGUUAUUAUGGAAUCUACUCAUCACAAAGAUGCUAUGCAAUAAAUCACCCACAAAAAGCAGGGGGGCAGUGAAGAGGUGAUCCAGAAGCCGUCAAUGAUUUGUGACUACACGGCAAAUAUGGGAGCCAUAGACAGAGCCGAUCACUAUUGUGCGCCGUACCAUUUUGCCAGAAAAUCCCUCAAAUGGUGGAGGAAAAUUUUCUUCUGGUUAUUCGAGGUGGGGAUCGUCAAUGCUUACUUGCCAUAUGUCAUCAUAGCAAAGAAAAGAGGAGAGGAACCAAAGAGUUAUUUGCAGUUUCGAAGGAGUCUCAUUAAGGAGCUUGUGGGCAGCGUCAGGGCUCAACCAAACCCAUCGAGGAAGAGGCCACGCUCUGAGCCUGGUGACCUACACAGGAUGGGUGGCCUGUACCAUGCUAUCGCAAGAAUGGACACCAGAAAACAGGGUGACUGUGUCAUUUGCAGUGAUCGCUCCAAGCCAGGAGAGCGAAAACGCUCCCCCGUUUGUUGCGAAACUUGUCCGUCCAACCCUUCUCUUCGUGUGCCUGAGUGCUUCAACAGGCAUCACAAAGUAGCAAAGUACUGAAAAGACUUAAAUAUGGUUGCCUAUCGAAAAAUCA